rnacentral:lncRNA from 1 species
AGUGUUGGUAUGGCUCAGCAGUGCAGCACCAGCACACACUUGGGAUGUGCAAGGCCCUGGGUUCAACCCCAACGCACGGGAACACACGCACACCCCCCCGAAAAGAGAACCAAGGAAAAAGAAAAGAAAGCAAUUCCAUGAGAGGGCCAGGGAUUUAGCUCAGUGAUGAUGCCGCCGCCUGCCUUGAAAGCAAAAGGUCCCGAGUUCGAUCCCGGAUACCGAGAACAAAGAGAGAAUCUAUUUUAUGCGCGAGCAUCUGAGGCACAAAGGUGAAAAGCACUCCCCUAAAUUUGGUGAAAAGAUUCACGAUGGGCAGAGUGGGGGCCUGGGCUGCUGGCUCUGGUGUAAAGCUGGUCACGUCGCCGUCAAAGGGACCAGGCCACAGACUUCGCCGACAGACAGACGUGCAGACGAAAAAGGCCUCCCUGGGCGGCGAUCAGAAGCGCACUGCCCCACCGACGCCCGAGACCCCGAGAACUUCGGAAAGGGAGAAACCGGUGAAUGGGGGUGAGCGCCGCACUCGCACCCAGCUCCACGUUGUCAGCUGACAUCCAGGACCUGGGCCGCAGCCCCGGGUUGGGUGCGGAGUUCCAUCCCCGACGCAAACCAAACCAAACUGCCAGACCCUGUCAGAUCCCGCGCGGCCGCCGGGCCGGGCAGAGGAGGUCUUCAAAAGAUGCUCGUGGCCAUGCGCAGGGCCUCACAGCGAACACAGUCAUUAUGUAUUGCAAACAUGUACUAAUAACACUUUCAAACUAAAAAAAUGAAAUGUUAAAAGAAAAUGUUAGGCGCUCUAGGGUGCGGGUUAGCGCAGGGGUAACAGGGACGGACGACGUCACCUGACACGAUCAGUGUAUCUCACCCCAUCCUCCCCGCCGCAUCCUAAUCCGUGACGAGUGACUCAAAGUCCUUUAGACUCAGAGGCCUAAAGCUGGGGAUCACAGUGGCACCGUGGGUUUCCAGGGGAAGAUUGGAGGGACGGGGGAAGCAGAACUCUCCAGCCGUCUCAGGCGCCGGGCAGGCGCUGCCGAGAACCAUGGCGACGCUUCAGGCACAAACAGGAUUUCCGUGUGUGAAGACAUUCACUACGAAGGUCGCCACUAAAACCUUAGUUUUAGGGCUAGAGAAUGGGAAGGACUCAACAGUCCAAAAUAGGAGACUGAUUAAAUAAAAUUUUCAAGGGAAAUGCAAAUCAAAACUACAACCAAGAGAAGUCACACACAUCUGUAAUCCGAGCACUCAGGAGGCUGAGUGGUAGGAUUACAGGUGUGCCACCACGCCCGGCACAAUCUUCAUAUUCUAGUGGCUGCGUUAGAGAUGGGUACAUGUUCUUUGGGAAGCAAUAUUUAGUGUCUAUGGAAAUCUUAAAAAGUACCUACUCUUUGGGCUGGGGAUUUAGCUCAGUGGUUCUGGCGCCUGCCUUGCAAGCACAAGGUCCCAAGUUCGAUCCCUGGUACCAAAAAAAGAGAAAAAAAAAUAUUUUUAUAGUCCAUAAAUUAAAAGAAGCAAUAUGAAGUAACUGAAAAAAUAUUUUUAAAUAUAGAAGAAUAUAAAGGAAAAACCUUUUUUAUUUUUUUCAUCUUUUGUUUGCUUUGGUUUUUGAGACAGAGUCUCACUAUGCAUUCAGGCUGGCCCCAAACUCACAGCGAUCCUCCUGCCUCAGUCUCCUGAGUGCUGGGAUUACAGGUAUGCACCACCACACCUGGCUCAUUUUUUUCAUCUUUAAUAAGACAGUCACAUUUACCAAUUUGGGGCUGUGGUGGCGAACUUAUGGCACAUGUCCCACAGUGGGAUGUUUGUUAUGACUGAAAGCUCUAAAAGGUUCACCAUCACUGGUUUAGGGUAUAUUUUUUCCACACUUUUUGAUCUUUUGUUUAGAUUUUUUUUUAAAUUUUUUUAAUUUUAAUUUUAAUUUUUUUUUGGUACUGGGGAUUGAACUUGGGUCCUUGUGCUUGUGCAGCAGGUGGCAAAAUCACUGAGAUAAAUCCCCGGCCCUUAGAUUUAUUUUAUUUUAUUUUUUGGUACUGGGGAUCAAACUUGGGACCUUGCACUUGGGAGGCAGGCGCCUGAACCACUGAGCUAAAUCCCCGGCCCUAGAUUUUUUUUAAUACAAAAUGGAAUUGUAUUAUAAUUUUUGUGGGUGUGCUGGAAAUUAAACCCAGAGUCUUUGCACUGUGCUACAUCCACAGCCCUUUUUUUUUUUUUUUUUGGUACUGGGGAUUGAACUCAGGACCUUGUGCUUGCAAGGCAGGCACAGUGCCACUGAGCCUAAUCCCCAGGCCCCUUUCUUAUUUUUUAUUUGGAGACCCUGCUAAGUAAGUCACUAAGUUGCCCAGGCUGGAGUCCAACUUGCAAUCCUCCUGCCUCAGUCUUCCACAGUGCUGGCAUUACAGGUGCGCACCACUACAUCUGGCCAUCAUACAUGAUGUCAGUGCUAACUACAUACCUAUGGGAUCAUUUGUUUCUAAAACUGGAAAUAGGGCCUGAGAUUUAGCUCAGUGGUUCUACCACCUGCCUCACAAGCAGAAGGUCCUGAGUUUGAUCCCCGGUACCAAAAAAAUCCCCUGGAAAUAAUUGUACUUUUUUUGAUUGUACAAAUGUGAUUCAUGAAAAAUUUUGUUUUGCUUUUUUUGAGACAAGGUCUUGCUAUGUAGUCCAGGCUGGCCUUGAACUCACUAUGUAGUCUAGCCUGGCCCUGAACUUGUGGCAAUCCUCCUCCCUCAGCCUCCUGAAUGCUGGGAUUACAACUGUGAGCCACACAUCCAGCCCAUCUCCAGACCUUUUAAAAUUUUUUUUAGCAAGUACUCACUAAGUUGCCUAUGCCAACCUCAAAUUUGUGAUUCUCAUGCUUUAGCCUCUCAAACCACUGGCAUUGCAUGACUGUGCCAUCACACCCAGUUAGACCUGGGUAUGUUAGGCACAG